GUUGGGCAUGGUGGUGCAUGCCUGUGGUCCCAGCUACGUGGGGGCUGAGGUGGGAGGAUUGUUUGAGCCCAGGAGGUAGGGGUUGCAGUGAGCCAUGAUUGUGCCACUGGACUCCGGCCUGGGUGACAGAGUAAGAUCCCGUCUCAA
ensembl:misc_RNA Metazoa_SRP Metazoan signal recognition particle RNA